AACGUAUAUUAUCCCUUUAUUUUCAUUAUCGGACAGUCCACUGCUCCACCCUUAGCAAUCCUCUCAACCCCAACUAUCACUAGCUCAUACAUUUUUGUUGUUUUGGUUUUAGAGACAGGGUUUCACUGUGUAGCCUGGCUGCCCUGGAACUCGCUCUAUAGGACAGGCUCAGAGUCUCAGACAUACACUGGUCUCUGCCUCCGAAAUGCUGGGAUUAACCACCCACAACUCCCUACCCAUUCGACUUUGCUUUUAAACCCACUGAGUCCAAUUUAUGUUGCCCAACCACUCAGUGGAGGCCUGCCCUGGGGUAUGACCCAGCUGCCAUGCCAUUA
rnacentral:lncRNA from 1 species